GACCCCAGCCGCCCAGCGACCCCACCCAAACCGCCGUCCGUGAAGCCAGUCGAAGCGUGCGUCGGGCGUCGGGGUCAAGGCACGAAAUUAUACGCCUAACGCUCUCUUCCUAAUGAUAGUGUCUUGUGUAUAAGGUCUAGCUCAACAUCAGCAACAAGAUGAGGUUGCAUUCAGCGCCAGUUUUCCUCUUGUUGCUGGUCCAUGUACUCUCUGCACCCAGUCGGCCCAGAGACAUUCCCAAUGCAGAAGCAGAGUUGCAUCUCCCGACGACGCGAGAGGACUCCACAGGCGGCGGCUUCUUGCAGUCCAUCUUGCAGACCUUGAAUCCGUUUUCCAGUAGGAAGAGCAGAGACUUAGAUAAUUACUUAACCUCGUUUAAGAAGAGGCUCGUUCGAGAAGCCAGUGACCUCGCAUCGCUCUACGUCAAGGCGGCCUCUGACGUCUAUCCCGUGCGAGGCGGACGAGAGCGACGCCAGCCGGAACGCAGCCCUGAAAAGGACUUUCGGCUCAGCCCGCGAGCGAAGAGAGACCACCCGCUGGAAUGGCCGCUCUACGAGGACUCUGACAGUGUUCCCGUGUUGGCCGAGGUGGCGGCCUCUGGCUCCUUUGGCUUCAGCGGAGGCUCCCAGAAGAUCUAUAUGACGUCGUGGCACAAUCGCUCUUUCGUGGCUGUCAUCGGGAACUCCAGGAAUGUCUCCCUCUACACGCUCGAUUCCCAGACGCUGCAGGCAACUCUUUGGGAUACCGUCACCGGAGACGUGGCUUGUGACUUCGGCGUCGUCACCAAGGACAGGCUGCUCCUGACGUGCGUCGAGAACACCACCACUUCCUCGCUGGUCAACGUUUACCAGGUCCUUGAGGAGACCGAAGGUGGAGAUGUGUCGCUCCGGCAUCACCAGGUCAUCCGGGCCGAGCACCCCAUUGAUGUGAAGAUGUGGACGCAACUGGACACCCCGAUCCUGAUGGUGGCCGAAUCCCUCAAGAAGGUCAACGUCAGCGUGGAGACGGGCUCGGGGACGUCGGAGGUGCAGAUGGCCAACUACGAGACGGUGUCCUUCGUGUACGAGUGGGCCGGCGAGUACUUCGACGCCAUCCAGCAGCUCCCCGGGACGCGGCCCAACUCCGUGGCUCACAUCAGGAUCCACAGCGCUCACUUCAUCGCCAUGGCCAACUUCGUCGAUAAUAAAGGUCGUCACAACAUCUACAGCACAAUCUACAAGUACUCCCUGAACGUGGGUCACUUUGUCCCCUUCCAGCGCAUCCUCACCAAGGGCGCCUACCACUUCGAGACCUUUGUCCUGGGCACUGGCUUCGGCUCGGAUACCUUUCUGGCGGUGGCCAAUCACUGCGAGGACAAUGUCAAAGGUGGUUGCAAUCCUCAUACGAACUCUCAGAUCUACCGAUAUCGUCUUGGCAAAUUUAUUCUUUACCAAGACAUCCCAACGUCCUAUGCUGUGGCCUGGCUCGCUAUUCAGGUGGGCGGCAACGUCAUCCUCGCCCUGGCCAGCUCCAGGACGGGCGUGACCUUCUACCAGUUCGACGGGUGGACCUUCGUGAAAAGCACCACCCAGUACAGUGGCGGCGCCAUGAAUGAGGGCGUGAAUUCCUUGGCCAUGCUUCCUCUACCCGACAGCAUUAUCAUGGGAGUCAGCAACCGCGAUCCAGACAAGGUGGGACGUGGAGGAUCCAAUCUCUUCACCCUGGCCUUCACCUACACGAAUUCUCUCGAUAACUACCACCAGCGAGCUGAAGAAUGGUGUCAGAAGCGACGCGGUGACACCAAGGAGCAGGAUGUCGCCGAUUUGCAGUCCCGCGUAGCCUCGGCUCCUCGUACUACCUCGGGCUACGUCUUCAAGCAGCACGUUACGAUCACAGCUGAUCUGACAGUGAGCCACACGGCAAAUGUUACUUCGAUUCACGUGACGGAACCCAACCUGCACAUACCUGCCGACUGGAGGCGCCUGGCUGACCUUCACGAGAACGUCGAAGAGGCGGCUUCCUAUGUCGCGGCCAAGAUGAACGACUCGAUCUUCAUCAACUCGCCUCAAACCUGGCCAGCUGAUCUCCAUUUCGCCGACCUGAAAGUCGAGAGUGAGAGCGAGGUCGAUAACCUCUCUGUGAACGAGGUCAAUGGGCUGACCUGGCCCGCAGAUGACGACGUCAUAAGACUUGCAGGAGCGUCUUACUCGGCACUCCAUUCCCUCUCCUUCGAGCACGUGGAAGCCAAGGUGGACACGCGCGUCACGAACCUGACAGGACUUCCCUUCUCUUCGUACGUCACCCUCCACGGCAGCCACAACAUCACGGGCAACACCAGCUUCCUCGGGGUCGUGAGGACGCCUGCCAUCGAGGCCACGUCAGGGCAUGUGGACGACCUCCUUGUGAGACACUCGUCCGUCUUAACCACGGUUGGCCAGCAAGAGUUCACAGGAGCUUUCACGUGCCAGAGUGUAAACGCUUUAGAGAUGGAUGCAGGGACACUGAAUGGCAUUAACGUCAACCAGUUCCAAUAUGAUGUCAUCACUGUAGAUGGAAAUCAUACUAUAUAUGGUGCCUUAAGUGUGCAAGAACUUGUAUAUCAGGACCAUUUAGAGGCAGAUGUAUCAGCGAGCAUUGAUCUCGUUAAUCCGCUAAGGACAGAUGUUGCAGUUUCCCAGGAAAUUACAGCCGUACACAAGCUCGGAAGCCUAGAAGUAGAAUACCUUGUAGUGGGAGGAAAGGUCAACUCCGUAAAGAUCCCUGAAGAGGUCUUCGUCAACGGUUCAGAUUACUUUGUGGGAUCAUCCUCUUUCGACAAUUUGGAGGCCACAUCCGUCCAGAUCACCAAGAGCCUUGAUCAGAUCACUGUGAGCAACAAGAAGCUAAACAUUCUACAGACUUUCAAUGCUCAAGUGGUGACUGCUCCAAAGACCUUCACAGAGUUUCACUUGGCUGACACUUUUCUCAAACCCUUGUUGAAAAGGCCACGACGAAAUAUUCCAAACGAGUGUGAACUUUCGUCCUCUUCAGGAAUCACAGAUUUUGAGGACCACUUUGAGAGAUUAAGGGGGCUCUUGCAAGGCUUAUCAAUGACGAAGGAGCUUUUGCUGUUGCUUCAAGAUGUGCAGCCUGAGAAAAAAGCACGGGUUCCUAUGUAUGCUGCUGAUUUCUAUGCCGUGCUCUUGGAUGAGGAUGUCGGUAUUCCUUGUACUCUUGUACGAAGUGGUAUCGUCUUUUCCGAGAUGUUGGAAUUGAAGCAGGUAUACAAAGCCAGCGUGACGGUGGUGCCUUAUGUGGAAAGAACUUGGAGUGCUGACGAACUCUCUCAGAUGAUUUUGAAACUUGAAGAAUAUUUGGAAGACUUCAAAGAGCUUUUCAUUUCGAAUGCCUCUGAUUCAAUGACCUGGUCCAAACUGGGGCAGUUCUCCCAGCAUGUUAGACAACAAAUGGCUCAGACUAUCGAGAGGGAUCUUCCACUUCUAACAUUAAUAAAGAAACUGUUUGAUUCUAAAAACUCCCAUCGAUUGAUCAACCCAGUCUUUAGUUUCUGUGAAUUUUUGUGUCCUGUGACCAAUGAUGAAAGUGUCUGUCACCCUGGUAUCCUGGUCAUUAGGAACCUCAUCAGGAGAAUUGCCUCUUAUCCCUCGGCUUUAGAGACUGUGACAGCCCCAAGACAGAAACAAGAGAAAGCCCAAUUGGUUAGCUUGGUAGUGAUAGAAAGGGAUCUUGAGGCAUUGCUCGAUUACUUGUCCAUUGAUGAGCGUCUCCAGGAAAGUCUCCACAUAGCAAGCCUGUGUGGUUUUUCCAAAAUGUGGGAGAAGAAAGAUGACGAUGAGAAUACAGCCUUGGAAAUUUUAUUGGCAUACGAAAAUGAACUUGAGAACACCUUUCACCUGAGAAGACCGAAAAGGCAUAUUGAUGAUGGUGUGCUGCCCACCACAACGGACGAAGUGAAGGACUCCCAGUCAGUUGUUACUGAUGGGUCAACAGAAGACACCACUGGCACCUCCAACUUCAGGGCUCUCAGUAACUUCGCUGGAGGCGAGUUUGACGCAAGUAUCUCCUCAGUUCCUCCUGAUGAAUCUUCACAAAUAUGGAAUAGUCUGUCAGGUUACUUAAUUAACUUGGAGAACUUUGUGAAUACAGUUUAUAAACUUGAUGGCCCAUUUAUUGAUACAGCCAAUGAUGAAAUAAGAAAAAUUAUUCAUAUGAACAUUGACUACCUACAAGCUUUGGAUUCUGACCUAGAUGUUGGCCUUGAGAAUGCAUCUCUUCUUGAACGUUUGUCUGAAAGCCUCAUACUAGGUAAAGAACUAAUGAUGAAUUAUCGCAUAACACCUGAUGUGGCCAAUUCUGUUGAACGGAUGAGGAAAUUGCCCUGGAUUCGUCACCUUAUGUAUAAAAUAAAUGAGCAAAUAGGGUCCAGACCGAAUGCUUCUACACUUGUAAAGCCAAGUAUUGACACUGGAAUGGGGCCGAUGAUGCCAGUGACAUAUGAUUACGUUAAGAUUAUCAAUAAUGUUUUCCAUAAUUUGUCACAAACGCCAAUGGCUGAAGACAAUGAAGAAGAUCGCAGACAACGCAUACUGCUCUUGGAGGCAGUGGCAGAACAGUUGAUUGAAGCAAAACGCUCUAUGUACUUGUCCCGGCAUGCUCGAGAGAUCAAAGAUGAAGUAAAACUCAUUGAUACUUUGAAAAACAUCUUGAAAAAAUUACUUUUAAGUGUACGAUCGUAUACAUAUACUACAGCAAACAUUAUCAAUAAAUAUAGGGAGGAGUUGCUGCAGAUAUCCAAGCAAAUGGGUUCGGUUAACUUAGAUAUUGAAAAUAUAUCUCGCACACAGUUUUGGGAAAUAGAAUGGUUGAAGGACCAGAUGAUUGAGGACAUGGAAUACUGCAAGGAAGAGGGACCAUUAAUGUCUAGAAAUAUAGAUUGUAAACCCCUUUUGAAUUCAGAUUUGUCCCACACAGAUAUGAUCUUCCCUUUUCUGUCCUUUCCAGCGGACAAGGAACCAGACUUUGAGGUGACUGAAUUGCUGGAUGAAAACAGUAUGCAGUACCUCUCUGCAGUACUUGUUUUCCUUAAUGUGAUUGAGGCUGGGCUCCCUCUACAAACCAAAGUUACAGAGUCACAAACUGGUUUACCUGUUAUAAUGGGUUUUGUGUCAGAUGAGUUGGACUCUGUGGUGAAUAUUUUAAUUGACCUUGAACAUGAUAUUUGGAACAUUGGAGGAGGAAAGUAUGACAGCUACCUUACAAAGAAAGUAAAAAAUUUCCUGGUUGCGUGUGAUCUUGUUGAGAAAUAUUCUGAGCAUGUGACUGAGGUGGUGUUUCUUAAAAUGAACAAGAUCCUCCAUCUUGUCACUAAUGUUAGACACCUAGUAUUCCAAGCAUCUUUCAUUCAAGAAAAUCCAAAAAAAUCUACAGAGGAGCGGGUAUUUCUUCCAGCUGGUAGGAGUGAUGCAGGGGAAAGUGAUGUGCUUAAUAUUGCUAAUCCUAUAAAUUCCAUUCCUGGUGAAUUUAAUAUGGAUGACUUAUCUGAAGUUUGUUCUAACAUUACAAUAGCCAUCUCUGAGGAUAUAAUACAAUUUAAUCGCUUAAGAGAUAUUUUGGGUACCAUUCAAAAUCACUUGAAAUCAUUGAUUUCCCUCUGGCCAAUCCAAGUUAAAGUGAGUAACCAUUUCAGAUUGGGUUACUCCUACUUAUCAAGCCAGUCAAAGAUUGUCAAAACAACCCUAGCAAAGUUAAAAAGUAACUUAAUGGGGACUAUCACCUCAAAAGAAGAAGAGUUUUCAACAAAUAUUUUCAAGAACUUUGCAAAUAUAUUAACAUUUGCAGAAAAUUCUCAAAUUAGCAUAAAAAAUGAGACCAUUGUAAGACUGGAUGCCAUCUAUAUGGAAGGUUCAGCAGUAUUAGAGGUUGUUUCUGAAGCGUUAUCUUGUUUGAAAGUAAUUCAUAAGUUGACUGCAGGGACUGAACUCGAUUUGCAACAUAAACCAACAUCUUCCUCUACACAUGAACCAGCCUUUUACACGGGUUAUUCUUCACAUGCCUCUUUGAUGCACAAAGCAGAAUCAUCUACAUCCCCUUCCUCAAGUCAAAUGUCAUUAUCCCUACCUCAAGUAGAGAACACUAUCUCAGAGCAAGUAAAAUCGUCAUUUACUUCUACCUCACAGGUAAAAACUGUUUAUCCCAAACCAAGAAUUUCAGUUGGUUGUUCAGAGUUUCAAGCUCAGGUAGAAUCUGAAGAACACAAAGUAUUACUCGAAAACUUGAAGGCAGCCAAAGAUUAUUUACAAAUUUUGGUUGCCAUUAAGCCUUUUACCAUAGAGAAGGGUAAAAUGGAAGUAAAGAAAAUUACUGCGUUCCUUGACAGAGUUGUUCCGAAGGCUGCUUCUGUUUUGCGCGCACUUGAUGAGGCAACUAUUGAAAAAGAAAUGCUAUGGAGUGGAAGUAUUUCACUAUUUGAGGCUAAGGGUCUAGCUACUAUGUUAAAACAUGUUAAUGAGUAUUCUCUCAUCCUUCCACAAGCUGUAGUGCAAGAGGUUCGAUAUAUGAUGGAUCAGUCAGCUACCAUUUUGGAGAAAAUAACUAUUUUAUCAGAAUGCCUUCAAAGGCCAAAGAUAAAGUCUGCUACUGUAUCCCCACUUACCAUAGCCUCCCAUGAUGUUACAUCAUCCCAACAUGAUGCCACCACAAUAUUGAAUGACACUACAAUCCCACAUAGAACUACACAAAUGGUUAUCACACAGUUGCAUGAUGACACCACCCCAUACCCAAAAGAUGAUGCCAUGGACCUACAGGAUACCACUGCAUAUUUUCAUGGCAUCACUUCAUCCCCACAUGCUUACAUGAUAUCCCCACAUCAAAGCACCCCAUUCCUACAUACAACCACCACCAGAUCAGUGUUUGACACCAAGAACUCGAGAGAGCUUCUCUACUAUCUUGAGAAAUCAUUGAAAUAUCUUCAGACCCUAAAUUCAUCGCUACCAUGGAAUCUGCAUCCUACAGCACCUCAGGACCUGGGCUUCCCUAGCUACCUGAAGACAGUUUCAGCUUCGAUCCUUGAGAAUCUGGAGUUGCUUGCAAAAGAACCUAUUCAACUUGAGAACCUGAGGUCUGUCUUCCACUUGCGGGCAGCGCAGUUUGCUCGGAUGAUGCGUUAUGCGAAGUCUUCCAAAAACUUACAGAUUUCGAAAGCAUUCCAGGAGCAGCUUGAUCACAUGGCUCAACUAUUACAAUAUUCCUUGACAAGAGUGACUGAAACUAUUGAUGCUCUGAAAGGAGAAAGUCCCACCUCUCUCGCUGCUAGUCCCACCUUCUCUCCCGCCGCUAGUCCCACCUUCUCUCCCGCCGCUAGUCCCACCUUCUCUCCCGCCGCUAGUCCCACCUUCUCUCCCGCCGCUAGUCCCACCACCUCUCCCGCCGCUAGUCCCACCACCUCUCCCGCCGCUAGUCCCACCACCUCUCCCGCCGCUAGUCCCACCACCUCUCCCGCCGCUAGUCCCACCACCUCUCCCGCCGCUAGUCCCACCACCUCUCCCGCCGCUAGUCCCACCACCUCUCCCGCCGCUAGUCCCACCACCUCUCCCGCCGCUAGUCCCACCACCUCUCCCGCCGCUAGUCCCACCACCACUCUCGCCGCUAGUCCCACCACCACUCUCGCCGCUAGUCCCACCACCUCUCCCGCCGCUAGUCCCACCACCACUCCCGCCGCUAGUCCCACCACCUCUCCCGCCGCUAGUCCCACCACCUCUCCUAUCAGUACCAGUACCUCUACCACAACACCAAGCUUGUGGGAGAAACUAGUGGCUCAUCACGAAGAGAAGACCAAAGUACUCACCACCCUGAAAGAAUUCCAAGAACAGCUCCUUAUGUUAACGAACCUGCAGACGUUGAGUUCUAUUACUUCGUCUCCUACCUCCUCACACACUAUCAAAACCCGCCGGGCUGUUCCUUCAGACCCGCUGGAGGCAAUGGCUGCCACACUUGAAGUUGCCAGAGGUAUACUUAAGACACUCUCCAGCCUACCCACCUCAAACAGUACUCCAGUAUAUGAACGAGUGGUAAACGAGCUGCAGGAAUUGGUCCUGCAGUACAACGGCAGUUCCUCUAGCAUUACUCCAGUGACAGAGGAUGAUUUGCUCAGAAUCCGCACUCUGGCAUCGGAACUCCUUCCUACUGUCGUCGAGGUGAUUCUGCUGCUAGAGACUGAGAUUGCCCAACUGGAAGACGAGAUCGAAGCCGUGGAGGAUGAGCUUCUUGGCCCGAUAUUGGAAGGCUAUCAUGUAGGUCCACCGCUUCCAAUGUCCACCAGUUUCAAUGCACCUUCAGAGAUUCAGAACUUGCUGCCAUCUUCCUCGCGGGUUCAUGGCCUAGUUUCCGGCUACAAGAUCGAGCUCGUGGCAUCGUCCCUUCGGCAGCCGUUCGAUGUGGGAGACAACGUGACAGAAUUCCUUGUAAACAACAUGGACAAAAUCAGGGACGUCGACUUCAGAUCCCACCUGCAUUCAGGCGAUGUGAACGGGGUGAACGUCACGCGGCUGAGGGAGUCCGGCGUGGCCCUGGACGCCGCUAGGGUAAACGUUUCGCUAACGUUUCUCCAACACGUCGAGGUGGCUGGGAAUGUGACUGCACAAAGUAUUAACGGCGUGCCGGCUGGAGAUUACGUCACCAAGGAUGGGAUGUUCGUCUUUGGCGCUCCUCUUCAGUUUGUGGGCGGUGCAAUGAUGAAAGAAGACGUGACUGUCACUUCGACCGUCAAUGACGUCGAUCUCAGCAACGUGACCUUGAGGAUGGCCAAGGUCAAGGGCACGAAGGCCUUCCAAACCGACCUCGUCUUUGGACACGUGGAUACUGAAAGUGUGAAUUCCCCUCGCGUGACCGUCUCAGGAGUUCGCUUUAGGGACACCGUGAAGAAGAAUGAGUCUGCGAUCAUUACAGGAUCCAAGACCUUCCUGGGAAACGUCGAGGUGAAGUCGGGUCCGGUGCAGGCUGGCGACGUCACUGCGGAGACUGUGGACGGCUCCAACGUCACCGAUUUAAUCUUCGGGUCGUUGAGGAAGAGCCUCGGUGAUCUGCAAGUGAUUAAGGGAGGUUUCAAAAUCCGUUCACUCAAGAUAGAGAAGAAUUUGUCAACGCGCGGCUUCACUGUUUUGCCGCGGGACGAUAGUGUUCCUUUCUUUAUGAAUUUCACCAGCUUUUCUCGUCACGUGGUGUAUAGAGAUGAAGACUGUGUUAUCAACGGCGACCUCCUCCUCUUUGGGAACACUGAAGUCCGCAAUUUAGGUUUCCAUGAUACGUUCGACGAUGUUCCGUUCACCCGCUACGAGGACGGAUGGCUGCUGCAGAAGGGCAACCAGACGCUAAAGGGACACUUGACCGUCGCCUCCGUGAUGAAUGCACAGCGGGUCGUGACCUUGCCCGGUGUCACGGUCCAGGGCGUUGACGUUGACUUUCUGAACCUCUUUGCCAUGAUGGUUGAUGAACCCGAGACCUUCGUCGGUCCUGUUGGCUUUGAACUCCUCACUUCGGCGAGCCCAGUGGUCGUGGACGGGCGUGUUCAGGGCUGGGACCUCUCCGCCGAAGGCAUUGUUCAGUCGACGUCCGACUCCUCCGGGGGGCGUGUCCUCGUCUUCACCGGAACCAAGAACUUCCUCGGAGACGUGUUUUACGGUGCAGACUUCAAUGUGACGGGACUUGUGAAUGGGAUCGACAUAGAGACUGUCUGUCCCAUGUUGAGCUACCAUCAUUUCCACACCGACUCGGCCACUUUCCUGGGAGGUGUGGGAGGCGAGGAGGUGCACCUCGGGAAGGAUCGACUCGUCCUAGACCGCGGGUUCGCCGAUUCCUUCUGGAGGAGCGACCGGCCGGCGCUUCUUCCCAACGGCGUCGCCUUCGACACGGUGGCGGCGGUGCACAUCACGACAAAUUCCAUGGUCAACCAAGUGAAUCUGAAGGACCUCGACACCUCGGUCCUUCGUAAGUACUGCGCGGGAGGAAGCCAAGAGGUCGCAGGCUCUUUCUCCUUCGCCAACUUAACUGUCUCUUCACUUCAGUCGACUUCCAUACAGAUGGAAACCCUUGACGAGUGGACAGCGAAUGACCUCUUGAACAUCAUGACCCGGGACGAGACCCAGUUCAUCUCGGGUCAAAUGUAUUUCGAUAAUGUAUUUGUGCUUGCUCCCCUUUCCUUCCACAGGGAGCAUCGAGCCCUUUUCCACUGUGGGAGGGCUGGAGGUGUCCGAGUUCUGCCGCCGGGGGUCGCCCUGCUCCGUGGAGGCACCCAAGGUCUUCGCCAACCUCACGGUCGUCGGCAAUCACACGGUGCAGAACUUGAGUACCGUGCAGGGAGUGGAUGUGUCGGAGGCUUUCGAGGGCGCCGUCACGAACACCACCUGCGGAUUCAUUCCCGGCCGCACCACCUUCGUAGGACGGCUCAACAUGACGUCCUUGUGGACCCCCGGCUUGGUCGAUGGCGUGAACAUGACUUCGCUUGAACUGCUGACCCUCUCGGAAGGCCAGGUCAUGCAAGGCGCUCUUUCCGUUGUGGCUGGAAGUGGAGGAACUGCACUUACGGUCGAAAAUCUCACUUCUGACGACGGCUACUUCAACUCGAUGAAUCUGACAGAUUUGUGGAACACAGCUGUCCGUCUCGACCGAGAGAACGUGGUGAGCGGGCAGGUCCACUUCCAAGGCGCGGUGACCUUCCAAGACGUCGAGCUUCACAAGACCCUCGAUGGCGUCUUGGCCCUGAUUGAUUCGCCUCCAGACGUGUCGGCGCUCGCCCUGCCUUAUGAAUACACUUACAAUAUAUCGCGCAUCAACCACCAUGUUCUGGAA
rnacentral:misc_RNA from 1 species